rnacentral:piRNA from 1 species
AGGUAAAUAAGAAGGCUUGCACUUGGCUA